rnacentral:tRNA from 1 species
CCCAGUGUAGCUUAGUGGGUAAGGAACUGGGCUUGUAACCGAAAGAUCAUAGGUUCAAUUCCUAGGUAGGAA